rnacentral:tRNA from 2 species
GAUUUCUUUAAUGCGGGUUCAUUACCGGCUUCUCUA